rfam:Macleaya cordata isolate BLH2017 scaffold8803, whole genome shotgun sequence.
GAAUAGGUUCUUUUAAGAACCAAGAAAUCUGCCGGAAAAGAAACAU